rnacentral:lncRNA from 1 species
GAUUCUGCCUGUGGUCGUGUGCCCCCCUAGUGACUUCGGAGGUGAAGAUUAGCCCGGUGGCCUCGGAGAGGUCUGCUCACGGGCGGUCUCGGUGCCGGCGGACUUUGGCGCGCAAGAAGCUUUGGUGGGAUCGGUAUCGUUGGCUCUGGGAGUUCGGAUCGGAGAGUUGGUCGAGAUCGAUGGCAUCGACGGUGUGGCAUGCAUGCGGGG